rfam:Gossypium raimondii Chr02_contig_1466, whole genome shotgun sequence.
UGUUAAAAAAUUUAUCCAUUUUUUCUGUUAAAACCCAGCAUUGCUAACUAAAUAACCAAACAGUCACAUGUGUUAUGUUACGCAUAUCUUGUUCUAAUAUACAAGGGCCAAUGUUUAACAGUAAAAAUGGAUUGAAUUUUUAACA